rnacentral:tRNA from 1 species
CCCUUGUUAGCUCAGUUGAGAGCGCUCCACUGGAAAUGGAGAGGUCUUGCGUUCGAUACCCGGACCAGGCG